AAAUGACGAGUUUGAUCCUGGCUCAGGAUAAACGCUGGCGGCGUGCCUAACACAUGCAAGUCGAACGCCCUGUUCUUCUUCGGAGGAAGAGGGAGUGGCGGACGGGUGAGUAACACGUGGGCAAUCUACCCACAGGUGAGGAAUACCGGGGGAGGAGCCUGCGGCGGAUUAGCUUGUUGGCGGGGUAAGGGCCCACCAAGGCUGUGAUCCGUAGCUGGUCUGAGAGGACGGCCAGCCACACCGGGACUGAGACACGGCCCGGACUCCUACGGGAGGCAGCAGUUAGGGAAUUUUCGCACUGGGCGCAAGCCUGACGAAGUGACGCCGCGUGCGGGACGAAGGCCUUCGGGUCGUAAACCGCUUUUGUGGGGGACGAGACGGACGGUACCCCGCGAAUAAGCCCCGGCUAACUACGUGCCAGCAGCCGCGGUAAUACGUAGGGGGCGAGCGUUGUCCGGAAUUACUGGGCGUAAAGCGCGUGCAGGCGGUCCAUUAAGUUCAGAGCAACAGUCACCGGCUUAACCGGUGAAGGCCUUUGAAAACUGGUGGACUUGAGAGCGAGAGAGGGAUAUGGAACUCCAGGUGGAGCAGUGAAAUGCGUAGAGAUCUGGAAGAACACCAAGGCGAAGGCAGUAUCCUGGCUCGUUUCUGACGCUCAAACGCGAAAGCCAGGGGAGCGAACGGGAUUAGAUACCCCGGUAGUCCUGGCCGUAAACGAUGACCACUA
rnacentral:rRNA from 1 species